rnacentral:rRNA from 1 species
UACAGAGGUCCCAAGCGUUGUUCGGAUUUACUGGGCGUAAAGGGUGCGUAGGCGGUCUGCUAAGUUUGGUGUGAAAUCCCGGGGCUCAACCCUGGAAUUGCAUUGAAUACUGGUGGACUAGAGUACUGGAGAGGAAACUGGAAUUUACGGUGUAGCAGUGAAAUGCGUAGAGAUCGUAAGGAAGACCAGUGGCGAAGGCGAGUUUCUGGACAGUAACUGACGCUGAGGCACGAAGGCCAGGGGAGCAAACGGG